CCCUUAGAUGUUCUGGGCCGCACGCGUGCUACACUGAGUGGAUCAGCGGGUCAGGUUGCGCGAAAGUGUUUCCUAAUCUUGAAAUCCGCUCGUGAUGGGGAUUGACGGUUGCAAUUUUCCGUCAUGAACGAGGAAUACCUUGUAAGCGCGGGUCAUCAUCCCGCGCUGAAUACGUCCCUGCCCUUUGUACACACCGCCCGUCGCUCCUACCGAUUGAGUGGUCCGGUGAGGCUUUGGGAUCUGAGCAAAGAGGGCGUUUCGCUCGUUUUGCCCGGAAAACUCAGUCGAACCUUAUCAUUUAGAGGAAGGAGAAGUCGUAACA
rnacentral:rRNA from 1 species